AGAAUCAACGCUGGCGGCGUGCCUAACACAUGCAAGUCGAACGAGAAAGUGGGAGCAAUCCCAUGAGUAAAGUGGCGCACGGGUGAGUAACACGUGACUAACCUACCCUUGAGUGGGGGAUAACCUAGGGAAACCUGGGCUAAUACCGCAUAAUACCUACGGGUCAAAGGAGCAAUUCGCUUUAGGAGGGGGUCGCGGCAGAUUAGUUAGUUGGCGGGGUAAUGGCCCACCAAGACAGUGAUCUGUAUCCGGCCUGAGAGGGCGCACGGACACACUGGAACUGAAACACGGUCCAGACUCCUACGGGAGGCAGCAGUGGGGAAUUUGCGCAAUGGGGGAAACCCUGACGCAGCAACGCCGCGUGGAGGAUGAAGCCCCUUGGGGCGUAAACUCCUUUCGAUCGGGAAGAUAAUGACGGUACGGAAGAAGAAGCCCGGCUAACUUCGCGCCAGCAGCCGC
rnacentral:rRNA from 1 species